GCCACUAUAGCUCAGUGGUUAGAGCACUGGUCUUGUAAACCUGAGGUCGUGAGUUCAAUCCUCACUGGUGGCU
rnacentral:tRNA from 1 species